GUCCACCGUGGGCUUUGAAAAACGCUUUCCUUGAUAAAAUUUAAGCGUUUUAUAAGAGGAUGCCGGGGAAGGUUUUCCGGUUUAUCCCGGAGGGCUUGUAGCUCAGUUGGUUAGAGCGCGCGCUUGAUAAGCGUGAGGUCGGAGGUUCAAGUCCUCCCAGGCCCACCAGUUUAUCCAUUACUUUCAUAAGUGCUUUUAAAAAAUAAGUACUUCUAAAAAGAUUGCUUCUAAAAAGCUUAUCAAAAUUGGCAGGCUUAUUGCUUUUGUGUGAGUAAUCCAAAGUUAAAGCAAAUUAAUGGCAAAAAAACAGUUCAAAUGCUAAAUACUAAGGAGUCAAAAUUCCUUGCAAAGUGAUUUUUACAGCGUCCAUUUGGUUGAUAUAAAUUCCAAAUGCUCAUAGACGUCAAUGCCUAUAUGAAACUAUCGGUUCAAUCAUAUCGCUUUGAGUUAUAUAGAUUUUGUAAUCCCUCUUUUGAUCGUUU
rnacentral:misc_RNA from 1 species